UGAGGAAUAUUGGUCAAUGGGCGAGAGCCUGAAACCAGCCAAGUCGCGUGAGGGAAGACGGUCCUAUGGAUUGUAAACCUCUUUUGCCGGGGAGCAAAGAGCGGCACGUGUGCCGCGCCGAGAGUACCCGGAGAAAAAGCAUCGGCUAACUCCGUGCC
rnacentral:rRNA from 1 species